GUCCAACUAAGGAUAGCAGUCUGAAGCAGUUUUACCGCAGGCUAUUUUUCAGGGAUCGUUAGAAGCAGCAGUACUUCAGACUUACCGGGAUGCGUAGAGAAAUACAUCUUUCUCCUUGAGAGAUUUGUUCCAAGCUAAUAGCACUUUCUGCCAGUGAACAUGACUGAAGACAGAGUCAAGAGAAACCUGCUUUCCGCAGGAACCCGAACAGAAGCCGUGUGGUGAGCACACUGGGAGCAGCAUGGAGAUGGCCUCCUUCCCCACAGCAGACCUGUCAGCAUGCCUGGGUUUUAUCUUUUUUUGUUGAUAC